AUCGAGGACUCGCGGUAAACGUAGCCAUGCAGGAGACGAUUCAAGACAGUAGGACAGAUUUAGACAAAGUGCAGGAUUUUAAUGAAGACUCGCACCGGUACCCUGACAUGAACAUCUAAAUUUUUCGAGCCUUGAAACAAGCCUCGCUUAUGAUCAUGCCGAGUCAUAGCCGUGAUGGAAGUUGCCAGGAAACAACAGGUUAACUUGUCAUCAUAAAGUAAAUAGGCUUAUAACUCUGUCUACAUGUCUUCGCUUCCAAUAUCAUAGAACUUUAUAAAAUCGCCAUGCAGAAGUUGAAGACGGUAUUUAAAACUGUAUAAAAUGAAACAACAGAAUGAUAUGUUUAAUGUUUCUCUUUUAUAAAUUGAUGAAAUUCUUGUUUGUUUACAAAAUAAAAUCUGUAUAAAUAU